rnacentral:rRNA from 1 species
UACAGAGGGGGCAAGCGUUAUUCGGAAUUAUUGGGCGUAAAGGGCGCGUAGGCGGCCUGGCAAGUGGAAGGUGAAAUCCCUCGGCUUAACCGAGGAACUGCCCUCCAAACUGCUUGGCUUGAGUCCGGGAGAGGUGAGUGGAAUUCCCAGUGUAGCGGUGAAAUGCGUAGAUAUUGGGAGGAACACCAGUGGCGAAGGCGGCAUCCUGGCCAUGUCCUGACGCUCAGGGGCGAAAGCGUGGGGAGCAAACCGG